UUUUAUGAGAGUUUGAUCCUGGCUCAGGACGAACGCUGGCGGCGUGCCUAAUACAUGCAAGUCGUACGCUUCUUUUUCCACCGGAGCUUGCUCCACCGGAAAAAGAAGAGUGGCGAACGGGUGAGUAACACGUGGGUAACCUGCCCAUCAGAAGGGGAUAACACUUGGAAACAGGUGCUAAUACCGUAUAACAAUCGAAACCGCAUGGUUUUGAUUUGAAAGGCGCUUUCGGGUGUCGCUGAUGGAUGGACCCGCGGUGCAUUAGCUAGUUGGUGAGGUAACGGCUCACCAAGGCCACGAUGCAUAGCCGACCUGAGAGGGUGAUCGGCCACAUUGGGACUGAGACACGGCCCAAACUCCUACGGGAGGCAGCAGUAGGGAAUCUUCGGCAAUGGACGAAAGUCUGACCGAGCAACGCCGCGUGAGUGAAGAAGGUUUUCGGAUCGUAAAACUCUGUUGUUAGAGAAGAACAAGGAUGAGAGUAACUGUUCAUCCCUUGACGGUAUCUAACCAGAAAGCCACGGCUAACUACGUGCCAGCAGCCGCGGUAAUACGUAGGUGGCAAGCGUUGUCCGGAUUUAUUGGGCGUAAAGCGAGCGCAAGCGGUUUCUUAAGUCUGAUGUGAAAGCCCCCGGCUCAACCGGGGAGGGUCAUUGGAAACUGGGAGACUUGAGUGCAGAAGAGGAGAGUGGAAUUCCAUGUGUAGCGGUGAAAUGCGUAGAUAUAUGGAGGAACACCAGUGGCGAAGGCGGCUCUCUGGUCUGUAACUGACGCUGAGGCUCGAAAGCGUGGGGAGCAAACAGGAUUAGAUACCCUGGUAGUCCACGCCGUAAACGAUGAGUGCUAAGUGUUGGAGGGUUUCCGCCCUUCAGUGCUGCAGCUAACGCAUUAAGCACUCCGCCUGGGGAGUACGACCGCAAGGUUGAAACUCAAAGGAAUUGACGGGGGCCCGCACAAGCGGUGGAGCAUGUGGUUUAAUUCGAAGCAACGCGAAGAACCUUACCAGGUCUUGACAUCCUUUGACCACUCUAGAGAUAGAGCUUCCCUUCGGGGGCAAAGUGACAGGUGGUGCAUGGUUGUCGUCAGCUCGUGUCGUGAGAUGUUGGGUUAAGUCCCGCAACGAGCGCAACCCUUAUUGUUAGUUGCCAUCAUUCAGUUGGGCACUCUAGCAAGACUGCCGGUGACAAACCGGAGGAAGGUGGGGAUGACGUCAAAUCAUCAUGCCCCUUAUGACCUGGGCUACACACGUGCUACAAUGGGAAGUACAACGAGUCGCGAAGUCGCGAGGCUAAGCUAAUCUCUUAAAGCUUCUCUCAGUUCGGAUUGCAGGCUGCAACUCGCCUGCAUGAAGCCGGAAUCGCUAGUAAUCGCGGAUCAGCACGCCGCGGUGAAUACGUUCCCGGGCCUUGUACACACCGCCCGUCACACCACGAGAGUUUGUAACACCCGAAGUCGGUGAGGUAACCUUUUGGAGCCAGCCGCCUAAGGUGGGAUAGAUGAUUGGGGUGAAGUCGUAACAAGGUAGCCGUAUCGGAAGGUGCGGCUGGAUCACCUCCUUU
rnacentral:rRNA from 1 species